GAUGAACGCUGGCGGCGUGCCUAAUACAUGCAAGUCGAGCGAACGGACGAGAAGCUUGCUUUUCUGAUGUUAGCGGCGGACGGGUGAGUAACACGUGGAUAACCUACCUAUAAGACUGGGAUAACUUCGGGAAACCGGAGCUAAUACCGGAUAAUAUUUUGAACCGCAUGGUUCAAAAGUGAAAGACGGUCUUGCUGUCACUUAUAGAUGGAUCCGCGCUGCAUUAGCUAGUUGGUAAGGUAACGGCUUACCAAGGCAACGAUGCAUAGCCGACCUGAGAGGGUGAUCGGCCACACUGGAACUGAGGCACGGUCCAGACUCCUACGGGAGGCAGCAGUAGGGAAUCUUCCGCAAUGGGCGAAAGCCUGACGGAGCAACGCCGCGUGAGUGAUGAGGGUCUUCGGAUCGUAAAACUCUGUUAUUAGGGAAGAACAUAUGUGUAAGUAACUGUGCACAUCUUGACGGUACCUAAUCAGAAAGCCACGGCUAACUACGUG
rnacentral:rRNA from 1 species